rnacentral:lncRNA from 1 species
CAAUUUAUUAUUAUUUUUUCUUCAUUUUGCAAGCAUGCAGCAGCACAAUUGCAUCAAGAUGCUGCCCCCUCUCCUCUUUUGGUGCCGACCCCUACCUUUUCCUUAAUGCAAACUGCAGCACUUAAUCCAUUGGUUCACCUUCUUUACAUGCCCCUCAUCAAUCUCUCUUAUCUCUCUUCCCCUUAGUGCAUGAGCGUAACAACACAAAAAUGUUAGGCAUCAAUGGCAUGUAGCCAUUUAUCAUCCCUGGACGCCCCUACUCGCCC